UAAGCUUGGGACUAGUAACCAUUUGAGUUGGGCAUGGCUUACAAGACGCCAUAUAAGUUUUAUGAAAAGGAUCAUUGAGAUACUUAGUCUGACACAGUGAAUAAGCAGAAGAGCCAAGCUUAGCAACCUCAAUACCCAAGUGUUGGGAACUUAGUGAAAUAUCAUUGCCCUAGUUUUGAUGAUACCAAAAUCCUUAAGCUGUCUUUGUAAUAGAGUAGAACUUUUUGAACUCAAGUGUUGGAGUUCUUUUUCUAGUUUAGCUAGUGUUCUGAAGACUGAAGACCUGAAGAUUGAAGACCGGAGGACUGAAGACUGAAGAUUGAAGUAUUCAGCUGAUGUUGCGAUUAAAGGCAGAGUCAAACACUGAUAUUUGACUGACCAAGUUUCUCAACUGAAGGAUCAGUUAUAACCGAUUCAUCAAUGCUGGCC
rnacentral:lncRNA from 1 species